AAUGUUCAUUCUUUAACGAGGAAUACAGAAAAGUCGUUGAAACACUAUAAUGAUUGCUUGGACAUGAUAAUAUGUGAGACUCCAACAGAAAAAUGUUAUUUGGGUGGAUGUAACAAGUGUCCAGGGGUAGAUGAGUUGAGUAACAUUUUACUGACAUGUUUUGAGAAUCAGGAAAUCGAGAAUGUCACGUACAAGCGUUGGGUAUCAAAACCAAGGUGCAGUUUAGAAACUUUUAUACAGCCUACAGAAGAAUUUAUUGAAAAACUUUGUAGUGAAUUGAAAGUUCUUCUAGCUCACUCAUUCAUUGCAAAAGAACAAGCUAAGUUUUUAAAAACAUCAAAGGAAACACUAAAACCAAAUGAAUAUGUCAUUAUUUGUGAUUUUGCAGAGAAUUAUGCGUUCGUAGUACAAAAUGCAGCAUCUGGUUUUCACUGGAAUAAUGAUCAGGCGACAGUUUUUCCGUGAUUAUUUCAGACUGUAAUAAUCACGAUGCUGUUGCUGUUCAUGUUUUCAUCAAAAUAAUAACUGAUUAUGUGAAAAGUCUUCCUGAACGCUGUAACAAGAUUUAUUACUUUUCUGAUGGGGCUCCUCAACAGUUUAAAAACUUUAAAAAUUUUGUUAAUUUGUACUACCAUGAAGAUGAUUUUGAUAUUCCUGCUGAAUGGCAUUUUUUUGCAACUGCCCAUGGCAAAGGUCCGUGUGAUGGAAUUGGUGGUAUCCUCAAACGACUUGCAGCAAGAGCAAGUCUCCAGCUUGCGGUAGAUAAACAAAUAACAACACCUAUAGGACUUUACGAAUGGACUUCUGAUCCGGAUAACUUGCCAAAUAUCAUAGUCAAGUUUUCUCCAGAAGAAGACUAUAAUACAGCAUUGAACGACUUGAAUGACAGAUUUACAAAAACGAAACCAAUUGUAGGAACUCAACAACUACAUUGUGUAAUCCCCGACAAAAAUGGUUGUUUGUAUGUAAAAAAAUUCUCAAACUCUAAUGAACAUAGAAUUUGUAAAAUAUUGAAACGCCAGAGAGAACAUUAAUGAUUAAAUUAUUAUAUUGUUUUUGUAAAAUCAUUAAAAAUUAACAAUAUUAAUUAAUAAGCUUAGUAUUUACUAUCGUUUUAUAAGCUUAUAAAUUAAGGAUAUUAUACCACAAAACAUUUAAAUUACAUUUAUUUUAUUAUAGAAAUAACUUAGAAAAAAAAAAUUUUUUUCCAUUUUUCAAAAUUUGACAAUUUUUUUUCAAUUGAAUAAAAAAAAUUAAAAAAAAAUCCGAGCCACUCCGAGAUGGACGGGAAAAGUUGUCAUAUUAAUUGAAGUUUUUUUUGAGAAAAAAAAAAAAAA